rnacentral:lncRNA from 1 species
GGGAAUCUCAAGUUGAGAAAAGUCAUUUAUAAGAUCUAGCUGUAGGGCAUUUUCUUAAUUACUGAUUGAGAAGGGAGGCCCUAGUUUAUUAUGGGUGGUGCCCUCCUGGACUGGUGGUCCUGGGUUCUAUAAGAAAGCAUGCUGGACAAGUUAUGGGGAGCAAGCCGCUUCCUCAUUCUAGGCUUUCUUCGAACUGCCUGACAACAUUGCAAGAAGUUAUCCAGACUCUGUAGCUGGCUGCUGAGACAUGCUAACUCUCACAGGGGCAAAAAUUCAGCCACUGAAGAGCCUGUUGGGGAAGACACCAAAGAAGACAUUUAAUCCCAGUGUGAGUUUCACCCA